GAUGAAGAACGCAGCGAAAUGCGAUAAGUAGUGUGAAUUGCAGAAUUCCGUGAAUCAUCGAAUCUUUGAACGCACAUUGCGCCUUCUGGUAUUCCGGAAGGCAUGCCUGUUCGAGAGUCAUUAACAACCGUUUCGAUCCCUUUCUUUCAGAAAUUACAAAGAGGAAAAGGGUUUGGUUAUGGUGGAGGAGGGAAAGGGAGCGUUUAGCCUGUAAAAAAAGAGGCUGUGUUCCGCCUCCCCCCCAAAAUUGUACAGGCGGUCGUGUGCGCCCACGCAUCGAGGUGUUGUAAAAGCUGCCACGGCACUUUUCACCUGUGCAGUGCGAGAUUGGCCAGCCGGUUUAAAAACCCCUCCAAACAAUCAAAGGUUGACCUCGGAUCAGGUAGGGAUACCCGCUGAACUUAAGCAUAUCAAUAGCGGAGGA
rnacentral:misc_RNA from 1 species